UAAAGGGUUUCUAGGGUAGAACUAGAAACCCCUGAAUAUUAAUGGUUUUUGUCUCAUUGAGACCCAAAGCUUCGAUUCUCACUGGUUCAUGAAGAACCACAUGGAUUGACCAAGCUUUGAAUUCGAAUCUGACCCUUCACACCUUAUUUUUCUUGAAUCUUGACCGUUAAAACGGUUUUUUGGGAGAAUUUUUCUCAAAUCUAUAAAAGUUCCUCAUCGGCUAAUGUAGGGUUUCUCACUGAUUUGGGGUUCUAUAAUAGAACCCCAUUUCUCAAGAUUUAAAGAGAGGAAGAUACGCAUACACCCAGAUUUUGAGCAUCAAGACUUAAAAUUAGGGUUUUAGUUCAAAAAUUUUAUUUAACUUUUCAAGUUGAGUCUCUAGUUUUCAAAGUUUAAUUACUUGUUCUUAUUUUGGUGGCUGAGUUCGAGAUUGGAAGCACAAAAGGCUCCAGAUUCAUUCUUAUCUCGGCUGCGCAACAAAUAGGCAAUUACUUAUCAUUUUAUUGCUUUUAUCUAAUUUUCGCUUAGUUUAGAUGUGCAUUUAGUUAUGAUCUGCUUAGUUUAAUAUUCUGUCUGCUAAUUUAGGUGUUGGUUUGUUUUUCAUUUUGUUAAUUUAAGUGUUGAUUCAUUAGCUUUUUGCUUAAGUAUUCUGCUUAGUCUCAGUUGCUCUUGAUAAUGUUUUAGUUAUUGUCUAGCCAUGUAGAUCAUUGAUGUAUUUGUGUAUUUUGUUUUGAGCCUGAAUCUUUAUUGUCUAUGUUUAAAUUGGGACCUGUUGUGAUUGGUUUAAUUAGAUCUUAGAUGGUUGAUCACCUUAAAUGAAGGAAAUUUGAAAUAAUCAAAGAUUUUUGGUAUGAAUUCAGAACUGGAAAUGGUAAUAUGACUUUGUUUUGCUAUUGAUGUAUCGAAAUGGUCCUGAUAGCUUAUGAAUUAAAAAAAAAAUGAAAUCAUAGUGUCACUCCCUUAUCUUAAAUACUUAGCUUAACUACACAGAUGUCUAAACAACCAAAAACAAUGGUGUUCAGUAGUUUGAAAUAUGAAACUGGCCUGAUUGCUUGAUGUCAUAAGUGUCUCAAUCCCUUUUCAAGACCUGUUAGCUUGAAUAUGUGCAUCUUGAUGAACCUGUCUUGGUGUUUCUUAUCCCACAACCAUUGUGUCUUUGAAACUUAUCUAUGUUUGAAGUCCUAAAGAAGUUCAUUUAGGUUGAAAACUGAAAAGAUGAACCUUAAGGUUCAAAUCUGAUUUCUGACUGCUAAAAUGGGUCUAAAUGAUUUUUAUUAAUCAGUAAAGUGAACUGGAGAAGUCUUUUGACACUUCAUUUGGUCUGAACUAGGACUCUAUGAUGUUAGAGUUCUUUAAUGGCUUUGAACAUGUAAUUCAGGUCUAAGGUAGGCUAACAUAAGACAUUGAUAUGACAUUUGUGCUAAUGGUGUUUCACUAAAACCAAUCACUUAGUCUUAAAGGAUCAAGAAGUGUAAAAGGGGAGCUUGAUAUGAAUCUAUCUAUAUCUUUCUUUGAUAAACUGUUUGCAUCAUUUUAAGUAUUAUGGUUCAAAUGAUAAGUGUGUGGUGAUCAUGAUUAAGAAUGAGAUUGAGAGUGGUGUUUGCCUCUCUCUCUCUCUGGGGUUAAAUUAUGUUGUGUCUGGCCUUGUCUUGUUCGGUUGUGUCAAAUCAGGCCUAAAAAUGAGAUGUGCAGAUCUGUUUUGAACUCUGUCAUUAUCAAAAAAGGGAUUAAAAUUCAUACCAUAAUUAGAAUUCUAGGCUAAAUAACUAAAAGUACUCAUCUAAUCUAUGUUAGUCAAGUGUUUGGUUGGGAAUUGAUUCAAUGAUGGUAUUUGUAGGGAUAUACGUGUUCAUGGGCAAGCUAUGAACCACUUGACAAUAGAGGAGCCUUUUAAAGGCAUCUUAGAGAGAGGAUUGGGAAGAACCAAGUCCAACUUGGUUCGUAGUACCUUCCUCCAAAUAAAAGGUUCCAUGGCAUGUCUAUGGGGUGUGUUUGCCAUAUGAAUACAUUUGACUCUACAAUCCUGUCAUUAAAUUAAAGGGCAAAGGAUAAAACUGAUGCUAUCUUGUUUAAGAUAGGUUGUUAAAUUAAAUGGUGGACCUGUCUGGGUGGAGUUGACUGAUUUUUGGGAAUAAGAAAUUAAUUGGUUAAGUUAAAGUCUUGAUAGUAAAAUUGUUGUCCUAAAAUGAGUCCUAAAAUACUAAUCACAUGAUCUGUUUGAGCUCUUGUAUCACUACUUUCCUUCAAGAUUCUGCUAAAGUUGAAAGUCAUAGUUUUCUUUUCAUUUUAUCUAAGUUAUAAUGCAUGUGAGUCAUGUAUCUCUCUUCUGAAUACUUCUCUUAUGUUGUUUUAAGCUUGUGUUCCCCUGUGUUAUAUCCAGAUUACCUGAAGUGGUUUAAGUAUUGUCCCUCUUGUGCUAUCUCUGUUCAUCUGAAUUGUUAAGCCUUAUAUUCCAUCUGUUCUGGUUGACUGAUUCAUGAAUUCUUUCUCUUGGGCUUUCCUGGUUUCAUGCUUAGUUCAGUGGAUAAAGAUGUUUAUUUUCCUAGUUGACCCUGCCCGGACUUGGGAACAUUUUAAGUGCCCUGUUAAUUAUGGGAUACCAAAGUCUGUGUUGGACUUGUGUAAAUCACUAUCCAGUAUUUAGUUGAUUAGUUUGAACUCAUAUUGGCCUUAGUCUAGGUUUGAACACUGUUUGAUAAGAAGGUUAAGAACCAAGACAAUCCUAAGAAGCAAAAUAGGUUUAAAAAUUGGAUUGAUGUCCUAAGGUGAUAUACACCAGCUAUAUUCAUAGGUUGAUAGAAGAAAAAAGAAGUAUACAUAUGGUAUACACUUAUAUGCAUGUCAAAUGUGUAUAUAUGAACAAGAAUAGUCAUAUAGGGUGUACAUCAACCAUUUUGAGGAGUAGAAGGCCCAUAGACUUGCAUACUUAGUUAAUAUUUGGAAUCGGCAGAAUUGCGGCCUGGCCCAUUUUAAGUCACUACAUAGAAAUCCAUAGCUCUCAUACUUAGAGCCCAUUUGGAUUAUGGCUUAUAAGUUGGUCAAACUAGCUUAUAAGUCAUUUUUAACUUAUUUGGGUGUUUGACAAAAAUAGAAAACAACUUAAAAUAAGUCAAAAAAAGUGCUUAAAAUAAGCCAAAAUCAAGAAGUUGCUCAAACCCCAACUUAUUUUUUUUGGCUUAAAAGCCAUUUUGGUUUGAUCAAUAACUUUACCAUUUUAUCCCUUAUAUUUUCUGUUAAUUCCAAUACUACCUUACUUCUAAAAACCCUUUAAGCACUUUUAUCCAAACACAUAACUGCUUAUUUAUAAAAUAACUUUUAGCACUUAAAAGUAUUAUAAGCACUUAUGCUUAAAAGCCACUUUUUUUUGGCUAAUCCAAACGGGCUCUUAGUCAAAACAGGGACCAAAUGGGGUUUGGGUAAAAUUAUUAAGAUGUGCUAGUGGGCUUCUAGGCCCAAUGCCCUGGAAGAUAUGUUUUACUUGUAUGUAUAUAUACGCCGUAUGCAUUUAUAAUAAGUUCAGUAGUAUUUUUCUAACCUGUUUCCCUUUUUCCUUCUUCCUUCCCACUGCAUGGCCACUUGGGCGGGGUCAAAACCGAACCUGUUGGGUCAAGGCCCAAGAGUUCAAUUCUUUCAAAGUUAUGGCAGUCCAGAUCGACGAAAGGGAAGCAAAUAUGUACGAGAAUGCAGUGAAGGUCCAACCAUGGGUGAAAAUAGUUAACUAGGGUCUUGAUUGGAAGCAAAAAAGGCUCCAGAUUCAUUCUUGUCUCGGCUGCGCAACAAAUAGGUGCAAUUCAGGUUCAUAAUUUUCAGGAAUUACCAAUUCAAGCUAAGAAGAUUCUAAUUUGGAAAAAAUAGGAAUUCCUAAUUUGAGAGUAAGAACUCUUCAAGACAAAGCACCAGAUUAAAGUCUUUGAUACCAGAACUAUAAGCCAUUGCUAAGUACAGUUUUUCAACAGACUGUGAGCUAUUGCAGCAUAUGUAUUAGGGUGGUAUCAGUGUGCUUGUCAUGCUCAUUCCUUAAUAUAAAUGUUGUAAUGCUCAUGAUCUAAGUAGCAGACUGUACUGGUUAUGGAUCAAGCAAAAUAGUGACCUGGUUUUCAUGCAGAAGGUGAUAUACACAGCAAUAUACAACUACUUUCAAGCUUGCCUGAAGAAUGAUUCAGAUGACUUGAAGCUUUCCACCUGUGAGACUUUGACGUGUGAUAGAAGUUAUCAAGCCAAGGCUCUUGGAUUCUUUUUGGUGUAAUCUGUUCAUGUCUACUUCUACUGGCCAUAAGUCACUAGAUUUUCCUGUGUUUUCUUUCAUUUUUUGGAUCAAUCUUGUUGGAUUGAUCUUUUCUUAUUUCUGUUCUUUGUUUUUAGCUGGAUCAAUCUGUUCUGGAUUGAUGUGUACAUAUUUUCUUUAUUAAUAAAAUUCCACCUUAA